AGAGUUUGAUCCUGGCUCAGGACGAACGCUGGCGGCGUGCCUAAUACAUGCAAGUCGAGCGCGGGAAGCAGAUGGAAGUCUUCGGACGGAAAUCUGUGGAACGAGCGGCGGAUGGGUGAGUAACACGUGGGUAACCUGCCUGUAAGCUUGGGAUAACUCCGGGAAACCGGUGCUAAUACCAAAUGACGUUUCCGUUCGCAUGAACGGAAAUUAAAAGGCGGCUUUUGCUGUCACUUACAGAUGGACCCGCGGCGCAUUAGCUAGUUGGUGGGGUAAUGGCUCACCAAAGCAACGAUGCGUAGCCGACCUGAGAGGGUGAUCGGCCACACUGGGACUGAGACACGGCCCAGACUCCUACGGGAGGCAGCAGUAGGGAAUCUUCCGCAAUGGACGAAAGUCUGACGGAGCGACGCCGCGUGAGUGAUGAAGGUCUUCGGAUCGUAAAACUCUGUUGUUAGGGAAGAACAAGUACGGGCCGAAUAGGUCAGUACCUUGACGGUACCUAACCAGAAAGCCCCGGCUAACUACGUGCCAGCAGCCGCGGUAAUUC
rnacentral:rRNA from 1 species